AUAUCAAUAAGCGGAGGAAAAGAAACUAACCAGGAUUCCCCUAGUAACGGCGAGCGAAGCGGGAAUAGCUCAAAUUUAAAAUCUGGCCUUCACGGGUCCGAGUUGUAAUUUGUAGAGGAUGUUUCGGACAAAGCUGUGGUUUAAGUUUCUUGGAACAGAACGUCACAGAGGGUGAGAAUCCCGUCUAGAACCGAGGGCCGCGUCCAUGUGAAACACCUUCGACGAGUCGAGUUGUUUGGGAAUGCAGCUCAAAAUGGGUGGUAAAUUUCAUCUAAAGCUAAAUAUUGGCCAGAGACCAUAGCGCACAAGUA
rnacentral:rRNA from 1 species